rnacentral:misc_RNA from 1 species
AACCUAGCACACCUGCGGUGUGUACCUGCGGAAGGAUCAUUACCGAGUUUACAACUCCCAAACCCCUGUGAACAUACCUAUACGUUGCCUCGGCGGAUCAGCCCGCGCCCCGUAAAACGGGACGGCCCGCCCGAGGACCCUAAACUCUGUUUUUAGUGGAACUUCUGAGUAAAACAAACAAAUAAAUCAAAACUUUCAACAAUGGAUCU